CACUAUCGUUAACUGAAUACAUAGGUUAACGAGGCGAACCGGGGGAACUGAAACAUCUAAGUACCCCGAGGAAAAGAAAUCAACCGAGAUUCCCCCAGUAGCGGCGAGCGAACGGGGAGCAGCCCAGAGUCUGAAUCAGCUUGUGUGUUAGUGGAACGGUCUGGAAAGUCCGACGGUACAGGGUGAUAGUCCCGUACACCAAAAUGCACAGGUUGUGAACUCGAAGAGUAGGGCGGGACACGUGGUAUCCUGUCUGAAUAUGGGGGGACCAUCCUCCAAGGCUAAAUACUCCUGACUGACCGAUAGUGAACCAGUACCGUGAGGGAAAGGCGAAAAGAACCCCGGCGAGGGGAGUGAAAAAGAACCUGAAACCGUGUACGUACAAGCAGUGGGAGCACCUUCGGGUGUGACUGCGUACCUUUUGUAUAAUGGGUCAGCGACUUAUAUUCUGUAGCAAGGUUAACCGUAUAGGGGAGCCGCAGGGAAACCGAGUCUUAACUGGGCGUUAAGUUGCAGGGUAUAGACCCGAAACCCGGUGAUCUAGCCAUGGGCAGGUUGAAGGUUGGGUAACACUAACUGGAGGACCGAACCGACUAAUGUUGAAAAAUUAGCGGAUGACUUGUGGCUGGGGGUGAAAGGCCAAUCAAACCGGGAGAUAGCUGGUUCUCCCCGAAAGCUAUUUAGGUAGCGCCUCGUGAACUCAUCUUCGGGGGUAGAGCACUGUUUCGGCUAGGGGGUCAUCCCGACUUACCAACCCGAUGCAAACUACGAAUACCGAAGAAUGUUAUCACGGGAGACACACGGCGGGUGCUAACGUCCGUCGUGAAGAGGGAAACAACCCAGACCGCCAGCUAAGGUCCCAAAGUCAUGGUUAAGUGGGAAACGAUGUGGGAAGGCACAGACAGCCAGGAUGUUGGCUUAGAAGCAGCCAUCAUUUAAAGAAAGCGUAAUAGCUCACUGGUCGAGUCGGCCUGCGCGGAAGAUGUAACGGGGCUAAACCAUGCACCGAAGCUGCGGCAGCGACACUAUGUGUUGUUGGGUAGGGGAGCGUUCUGUAAGCCUGCGAAGGUGACCUGUGAGGGUUGCUGGAGGUAUCAGAAGUGCGAAUGCUGACAUAAGUAACGAUAAAGCGGGUGAAAAGCCCGCUCGCCGGAAGACCAAGGGUUCCUGUCCAACGUUAAUCGGGGCAGGGUGAGUCGACCCCUAAGGCGAGGCCGAAAGGCGUAGUCGAUGGGAAACAGGUUAAUAUUCCUGUACUUGGUGUUACUGCGAAGGGGGGACGGAGAAGGCUAUGUUAGCCGGGCGACGGUUGUCCCGGUUUAAGCAUGUAGGCUGGUUGUCCAGGCAAAUCCGGAUAAUCAAGGCUGAGGUGUGAUGACGAGGCACUACGGUGCUGAAGUAACAAAUGCCCUGCUUCCAGGAAAAGCCUCUAAGCAUCAGGUAACAUCAAAUCGUACCCCAAACCGACACAGGUGGUCAGGUAGAGAAUACCAAGGCGCUUGAGAGAACUCGGGUGAAGGAACUAGGCAAAAUGGUGCCGUAACUUCGGGAGAAGGCACGCUGGUGUGUAGGUGAAGCCCCUGCGGGUGGAGCUGAGACCAGUCGAAGAUACCAGCUGGCUGCAACUGUUUAUUAAAAACACAGCACUGUGCAAACACGAAAGUGGACGUAUACGGUGUGACGCCUGCCCGGUGCCGGAAGGUUAAUUGAUGGGGUUAUCCGUAAGGAGAAGCUCUUGAUCGAAGCCCCGGUAAACGGCGGCCGUAACUAUAACGGUCCUAAGGUAGCGAAAUUCCUUGUCGGGUAAGUUCCGACCUGCACGAAUGGCGUAAUGAUGGCCAGGCUGUCUCCACCCGAGACUCAGUGAAAUUGAACUCGCUGUGAAGAUGCAGUGUACCCGCGGCAAGACGGAAAGACCCCGUGAACCUUUACUAUAGCUUGACACUGAACAUUGAGCCUUGAUGUGUAGGAUAGGUGGGAGGCUUUGAAGCGUGGACGCCAGUCUGCGUGGAGCCAACCUUGAAAUACCACCCUUUAAUGUUUGAUGUUCUAACGUUGGCCCCUGACCGGGGUUGCGGACAGUGUCUGGUGGGUAGUUUGACUGGGGCGGUCUCCUCCCAAAGCGUAACGGAGGAGCACGAAGGUUAGCUAAUCCUGGUCGGACAUCAGGAGGUUAGUGCAAUGGCAUAAGCUAGCUUGACUGCGAGCGUGACGGCGCGAGCAGGUGCGAAAGCAGGUCAUAGUGAUCCGGUGGUUCUGAAUGGAAGGGCCAUCGCUCAACGGAUAAAAGGUACUCCGGGGAUAACAGGCUGAUACCGCCCAAGAGUUCAUAUCGACGGCGGUGUUUGGCACCUCGAUGUCGGCUCAUCACAUCCUGGGGCUGAAGUAGGUCCCAAGGGUAUGGCUGUUCGCCAUUUAAAGUGGUACGCGAGCUGGGUUUAGAACGUCGUGAGACAGUUCGGUCCCUAUCUGCCGUGGGCGCUGGAGAAUUGAGGGGGGCUGCUCCUAGUACGAGAGGACCGGAGUGGACGCAUCACUGGUGUUCGGGUUGUCAUGCCAAUGGCACUGCCCGGUAGCUAAAUGCGGAAGAGAUAAGUGCUGAAAGCAUCUAAGCACGAAACUUGCCCCGAGAUGAGUUCUCCCUGAGACUUUAAGUCUCCUGAAGGAACGUUGAAGACGACGACGUUGAUAGGCCGGGUGUGUAAGCGCAGCGAUGCGUUGAGCUAACCGGUACUAAUGAACCGUGAGGCUUAACCUU
rnacentral:rRNA from 1 species